rnacentral:rRNA from 1 species
GAUGAACGCUAGCGGCAGGCUUAAUACAUGCAAGUCGAGGGGUAACAUGGGGUAGCAAUACUCUGAUGACGACCGGCAAACGGGUGCGGAACACGUACGCAACUUUCCCAAAACUGGUGAAUAGCCCUCCGAAAGGAGGAUUAAUACACCGUAACAUAACGAGGUGGCAUCAUCUUGUUAUUAUAGCUCCGGCGGUUUUGGAUGGGCGUGCGCCUGAUUAGGUAGUUGGCGGGGUAACGGCCCACCAAGCCUACGAUCAGUAACUGGUGUGAGAGCACGACCAGUCACACGGGCACUGAGACACGGGCCAGACUCCUACGGGAGGCAGCAGUAAGGAAUAUUGCGCAAUGGGCGAAAGCCUGACGCAGCGACGCCGCGUGAGGGAUGAAGUCCGUUAGGAUGUAAACCUCUUUUGCAGGGGAUGAACGUCUCGCUAUACGCGGGAUUGACCGUACCUUGCGAAUAAGGAUCGGCUAACUACGUGCCAGCAGCCGCGGUAAUUG